rnacentral:rRNA from 1 species
UACGGAGGGUGCAAGCGUUGCUCGGAAUCACUGGGCGUAAAGGGUGCGUAGGCGGGUCUUUAAGUCAGGGGUGAAAUCCUGGAGCUCAACUCCAGAACUGCCUUUGAUACUGAAGAUCUUGAGUGCGGGAGAGGUGAGUGGAACUGCGAGUGUAGAGGUGAAAUUCGUAGAUAUUCGCAAGAACACCAGUGGCGAAGGCGGCUCACUGGCCCGAUACUGACGCUGAGGCACGAAAGCGUGGGGAGCAAACAGG